rnacentral:rRNA from 1 species
GAGUUUGAUCAUGGCUCAGGACGAACGCUGGCGGCGUGGAUUAGGCAUGCAAGUCGAACGGUAUAAACCUUUCGGGGUUUAGAGAGUGGCGAACGGGUGAGUAACACGUAGGUAAUCUACCCUCAAAACGGGGACAACCCAGGGAAACUUGGGCUAAUACCGGAUGCGUGCAAGCAAUGUUUUGGCUGUUAAUGCUAUUCACGGAAGUGAGUAGUGUUAAUGGUUGAGAGCAUUAUUUGCAUAAAAGGUGGCAUAUGCUGCCGUUUGAGGAUGAGCCUGCGUCCUAUUAGUUAGUUGGUGAGGUAAUGGCUUACCAAGGCGAUGAUAGGUAGGCGGCCUUAACGGGUGGUCGCCCACACUGGGAUUGAGAGACGGCCCAGACUCCUACGGGAGGCAGCAGUCGAGAAUAGUCUACAAUGGACGGAAGUCUGAUAGUGCGACGCCGCGUGAACGAAGAAUCCCUUCGGGGUGUAAAGUUCUUUUAUACGUGAGCAGUGCCCUUUAUAUGAAUAGUAUAGAGGGAGGGAUUUAAGCGUAUGAAUAAGCAACGGCUAACUCCGUGCCAGCAGCCGCGGUAACACGGGGGUUGCAAGCGUUGUCCGGAAUUACUAGGCGUAAAGUGCAGGUAGGCGGAUAGAUAAGUUUAAGGUUAAAGGCUACGGCUUACCCGUAGUAAGGCGUUAGAUACUGUUUAUCUGGAAUGCGGUUGAGGGAGACAGAAUUCCUGGUGUAGCGGUGGAAUGCGCAGAGAUCAGGAGGAAUACCGAAAGCGAAGCAGUCUUCUAAGCCGAUAUUGACGCUAAACUGCGAAGGUGUGGGGAUCAAACAGGAUUAGAUACCCUGGUAGUCCACACAGUAAACGAUAAUCACUAGGUGUUGGGUUCGUAUAGGACUCGGUGCCGGAGCUAACGCGAUAAGUGAUUCGCCUGGGGAGUACGAUCGCAAGGUUGAAACUCAAAUGAAUUGACGG